GCACGGUUAGCGCAAUGGUCUAGCGCGCCACUUGGGUUGAGAACCAGAUAAAGACCCGGGCUCGAAUCACGGACCGUGCA
rnacentral:tRNA from 2 species